CUGAGUGGCUAAGCGAAAGUGAUAAGUAUCCCACCUGGGGAGUACGAACGCAAGUUUGAAACUCAAAGGAAUUGACGGGGGCCCGCACAAGCGGUGGAGCAUGUGGUUUAAUUCGAUGAUACGCGAGGAACCUUACCAGGGCUUAAAUGUAGGAUGACAGGUUUGGAAACAGACUUUUCUUCGGACAUUCUACAAGGUGCUGCAUGGUUGUCGUCAGCUCGUGCCGUGAGGUGUCAGGUUAAGUCCUAUAACGAGCGCAACCCCUGUUGUUAGUUGCCAGCGAGUAAUGUCGGGAACUCUAGCAAGACUGCCGGUGCAAACCGUGAGGAAGGUGGGGAUGACGUCAAAUCAUCACGGCCCUUACGUCCUGGGCUACACACGUGCUACAAUGGCCGGUACAGAGAGCAGCCACCUGGCGACAGGGAGCGAAUCUAUAAAGCCGGUCACAGUUCGGAUUGGAGUCUGCAACCCGACUCCAUGAAGCUGGAAUCGCUAGUAAUCGGAUAUCAGCCAUGAUCCGGUGAAUACGUUCCCGGGCCUUGUACACACCGCCCGUCAAGCCAUGGAAGCUGGGGGUACCUGAAGUCGGUGACCGCAAGGAGCUGCCUAGGGUAAAACUGGUAACUGGGGCUAAGUCGUAACAAGGUAGCCGUACCGGAAGGUGCGGCUGGAACACCUCCUUU
rnacentral:ncRNA from 1 species